rnacentral:siRNA from 1 species
CCAUGCUUUGGAUGGUCAC